rnacentral:rRNA from 1 species
UACGUAGGUGGCAAGCGUUGUCCGGAAUUAUUGGGCGUAAAGCGCGCGCAGGCGGUCCUUUAAGUCUGAUGUGAAAGCCCACGGCUCAACCGUGGAGGGUCAUUGGAAACUGGGGGACUUGAGUGCAGGAGAGAAGAGUGGAAUUCCACGUGUAGCGGUGAAAUGGCGUAGAGAGUGUGGAGGAACAGCCAGUAGGCGAAGGCGGACCAUGCUUUGGUCCGUUG